GAUGAACGCUGGCGGCGUGCUUAACACAUGCAAGUCGAACGGAAAGGCCAGUGCUUGCGCUGGUACUCGAGUGGCGAACGGGUGAGUAACACGUGGGUGAUCUGCCCUGCACUUCGGGAUAAGCCUGGGAAACUGGGUCUAAUACCGGAUAGGACAAUGGUUUGGAUGCCGUUGUGGAAAGUUUUUUCGGUGUUGGAUGAGCUCGGGGCCUAUCAGCUUGUGGGUGGUGUAUUGGCCUACCAAGUCGUCGACGGGUAGCCGGCCUGAGAGGGGGUACGGCGACAUUGGAAAUGGGAAACGGCCCAGACUCCUACGGGAGGCGGGAGUGGGGAAUAUGGAAUAAUGGGCGCAAGGCGGAAGCAGCGACGAGGAGUGCGGGGUGAGGGCCGUAGGGUUGUAGAUUCCUAUCGUUAGUGACGAGGCGUAUUUGUGACGGUACCUGGAGAAGAAGCACCGGCUAACUACGUG
rnacentral:rRNA from 1 species